GGAAGAGCCGAGCGUGAUAACGGCGGGCACAGAGCUAGCAGGACGCCCUCUGACUUAAGAUUUUUAUUAAAUAUUUCAGAAGAUGGCCGAUCCUUGGCAGGAAUGCAUGGAUUAUGCAGUAACUCUAGCACGACGAGCUGGAGAGGUAGUUUGUGAUGCUCAAAAAAAUGAAAUGAAUGUUAUGCUGAAAAGUUCUCCAGUUGAUUUGGUAACUGCAACAGACCAAAAAGUUGAAAACAUGCUUAUCUCUUCCAUAAAAGAAAAGUAUCCAUCUCACAGUUUCAUUGGUGAGGAGUCUGUGGCAGCUGGGGAAAAAAGUGUCUUAACUGACAACCCCACAUGGAUCAUUGACCCUAUUGAUGGAACAACUAACUUUGUACAUAGAUUUCCUUUUGUAGCUGUUUCAAUUGGCUUUGCCGUAAAUAAAAAGGUAGAAUUUGGAAUUGUAUACAGUUGUAUGGAAGAUAAGAUGUACACUGCCAGAAAAGGAAAAGGUGCCUUUUGUAAUGGUCAAAAACUGCAGGUUUCACAACAAGAAGAUAUUACCAAAUCACUCUUGGUGACCGAGUUGGGCUCUUCCAGAACACCAGAGACUGUAAGAAUUGUUCUUUCUAAUUUGGAAAAGCUUUUUUGCAUUCCUGUUCAUGGGAUCCGGAGUGUUGGAACAGCAGCUGUUAAUAUGUGCCUUGUAGCAACUGGAGGAGCAGAUGCAUAUUAUGAAAUGGGAAUUCACUGCUGGGAUGUUGCAGGAGCUGGUAUUAUUGUUACUGAAGCUGGUGGUGUGCUGAUGGAUGUUACAGGUGGACCAUUUGAUUUGAUGUCACGAAGAAUAAUUGCUGCAAAUAAUAGAAUAUUAGCAGAAAGAAUAGCCAAAGAAAUUCAGGUAGUACCUUUGCAACGAGAUGAUGAAGAUUAGUUACAGUAGCCUCCUAGUCGAUUGCAGAUACUUUUCCCAGAUUUGGUGACUCACCGAUGGAUAUGUGUUUCAAGAGUAUGAUAAUGCUUGGUUUAAAUUCUCUUUGUCCAGGUUAAAAAUUUGGAACUUGUUCCAUAUUUUACUAUGACUAGGUUUGUAAGAAUUGACAUAAUAUUUGUUUCAUUGAUUUAAAAA